ensembl:ncRNA F46C8.12 ncRNA
CCUCAUACCACCACCAACAAACAGGGUUUUGAUAGAGAGAAAGAGAAGGGGCGCAGAAAAGAAACGAUCCCUCCUCCUUUUCUCACACAGCCAGAUAUAUUCGUUGCUUAUUAUCAAGCCUUAUGUAAUACUCCACCAUUUUGGUUUC